rnacentral:rRNA from 1 species
UGCAAGUCGAGCGAGAAAGUGUAGCAAUACAUGAGUACAGCGGCGCACGGGUGAGUAGCACGUGGAUAACCUGCCUCAAAGUGGGGAAUAACACCGGGAAACCGGUGCUAAUACCGCAUAUUCUGAUGGAGCCUGCGGGCUUUGUCAGUAAAGGAGCAAUUCGCUAUGAGAGGGGUCCGCGGCUGAUUAGCUAGUUGGUGAGGUAAUGGCUCACCAAGGCAACGAUCAGUAGCCGGUCUGAGAGGACGGUCGGCCACACUGGAACUGAGACACGGUCCAGACUCCUACGGGAGGCAGCAGUGGGGAAUUUUUCGCAAUGGGGGCAACCCUGACGAAGCAAUGCCGCGUGGAUGAUGAAGUAUUUCGGUACGUAAAAUCCUUUCGACAGGGACGAAACCGCAAGGUUGACGGUACCUGUAGAAGAAGCCCCGGCUAACUCCGUGCCAGCAGCCGCGGUAAUACGGGGGGGGCAAGCGUUGUUCGGAAUUACUGGGCGUAAAGGGUGCGUAGGCGGCUUUCUAAGUUGGAUGUGAAAACUAUGGGCUCAACCCAUAGCCUGCAUCCAAAACUGGAGAGCUUGGGUUCUGGAGGGGAAAGCGGAAUUCCUGGUGUAGCGGUGAAAUGCGUAGAUAUCAGGAGGAACACCGGUGGCGAAGGCGGCUUUCUGGACAGACACCGACGCUGAGGCACGAAAGCUAGGGGAGCAAACAGGAUUAGAUACCCUGGUAGUCCUAGCCCUAAACGAUGGAUACUUGCUGUGAGGGGGAUUGAAACCCUUUGUGGCGAAGCUAACGCAUUAAGUA